AACAUUAAUCGUCGCAAUCGUCAUCUUCUCCCUAUUUGCACCGAGCUCUGCUAGCUUUGGUUCUUGCUAUAAAGCAUGUUUUCUAGCUUGCCGACUGAAAUUUUCAACAGUUGGUUGCGUGGGAAAUUGUUUGGCGCAGUGUAUCAUUCACAAAGAAUUCACUGGAAAGACCGCGGAGGGAGAAGAUAUUCCAAGGGCCACUCAAAGAGUUGAACCUAAAAAUUGAAUGAGUUUCAAACUUUAAUUUGUUGCCAGAGAGCUGAGGAAGGAUACGUUUGCGUACAUGCAUAAUAAAAUGUUCCAAUUAAUGUCAUUUAAAUUUGAGCAGUUUAGAUUGCGCUCCGUUCAGAAUAGCCUGUAACGUAAUCUUGUAUCCUCUAUAUAAGCAUCUCGUAUUUUAGACA